rnacentral:rRNA from 1 species
UACGGAAGGGGGCUAGCGUUGCUCGGAAUUACUGGGCGUAAAGCGCGCGUAGGCGGCUUUGUAAGUUAGAGGUGAAAGCCCCGGGAGCUCAACUCCGGAACUGCCUUUAAGACUGCAUCGCUAGAACGUUGGAGAGGUGAGUGGAAUUCCGAGUGUAGAGGUGAAAUUCGUAGAUAUUCGGAAGAACACCAGUGGCGAAGGCGACUCACUGGACAACUGUUGACGGCUGAGGUGGCGAAAGCGUGGGGAGCAAACAGG